rnacentral:rRNA from 1 species
UACGUAGGUCCCGAGCGUUGUCCGGAUUUAUUGGGCGUAAAGCGAGCGCAGGUGGUUUAUUAAGUCUGGUGUAAAAGGCAGUGGCUCGACCAUUGUAUGCAUUGGAAACUGGUAGACUUGAGUGCAGGAGAGGAGAGUGGAAUUCCAUGUGUAGCGGUGAAAUGCGUAGAUAUAUGGAGGAACACCGGUGGCGAAAGCGGCUCUCUGGCCUGUAACUGACACUGAGGCUCGAAAGCGUGGGGAGCAGACAGG